UUUAGAACUACUUCAUAUAAGGUCUGUGUUUCAUGUAGGCUAACCCUGGCGUGACGUUUUGAUAACCACAUAAAUCUAUCUCAGACAAGAUGGGUGGACCGGAAACCAAGUGACAACACUCAGGUCUAUAGCUGCCAUUUUCCGGUGGGAAAGAUAAAAUAGCCCUGCAUUUACCAGAAAAGGUAGCUCAUCCACCAUGGCAGAAGAGGAAGAUCCAGACUGUUGAUUGGGAAACAAGAACAAACAAUGAGGCAUGAGGAUUGGGUGUUAAGAGUACAUCCCUCAGGCCAUCCGGUGCAUGGACAUCCUGUGCCAGUGUGAUCCGGUUGUGGAGACUACAGCAGAUUGAGCCUGUGGACGGACAGACAUGAGGCGUGAUAUGCAGAAUAUCAGGCUCACCCCACGAGAAGAAGUGCAUGAUCAACGCCAUCCUCAGCAAGGAGAUCUGCUGGAAAAGAUGUACUCUCACUCUGGGGAAUGAGAGAAUUAGGUGAAAAUGAGGCGUUGCUUGUUAAACAAGUGGAUUCGGGGAUCAAGUGUAGCUGGAGCUGGGCCUGGUUCAAGCUGGAUGCCAGAGAUUAAAGGAAGACCACACACUUUCCCUCUCUCACUUUUUCAAUACAGUGGAUAAAAAGGGGUAUGCCAGGUGUACUCUCUGCCUGAAAGAGAUCAGUUAUGCCAACAAAGGGUAUCAUGCUCUGCUGGCACAUUGUAGAACAGAUGACCACAGGCAGAAAGUGUGCAAUGUAGCCCAAAUAUAUUGCUUUUGUUGUGUUGAAUUUGACAGAAAUACAUGUGUGUGAGUGAGGGGGUAUUUAAUUUUUGUGUGUAGUCUUGUGCACUUGAUCGAUGUCUACUAUAGUGGCCACUAUAAUGGAGCAAAAAUAGAAUGCCUGUUUGUUUCAUUCUAUUUCAAGAUGUUUUUUUCCCAAGUGCAAUGUUUAGAUGUGUGUGGUCACAACCAUUCUAUUAUUUACAUUUUAGUCAUUUAGCAGACGCUCUUAUCCAGAGCGAUUUAGUUAUUGAGUGCAUACAUUUUCAUAC